AUUGUUAUUGUUUACUGUAAGCGUGCUCAUGUUGUUUUCGUUAACCCCUUAAGGACACAGCUUCAAAAACUGGACUUACCCUUAAAGGAACACUAUAGUCACCUAAACUACUUGAGCUAAAUAAAGCAGUUUUAGUGUAUAGAUCAUUCCCCUGCAAUUUCACUGCUCAAUUCACUGUCAUUUAGGAGUUAAAUCACUUUGUUU